rnacentral:rRNA from 1 species
CACGUAGGCACCAAGCGUUGUCCGGAUUUAUUGGGCGUAAAGAGCUCGUAGGCGGCUUGUCGCGUCGGCUGUGAAAACCUGGGGCUCAACCCCGGGCCUGCAGCCGAUACGGGCAAGCUAGAAUUCGGUAGGGGAGACUGGAAUUCCUGGUGUAGCGGUGAAAUGCGCAGAUAUCAGGAGGAACACCGGUGGCGAAGGCGGCUUGCCAGAAUGCGCUCGACGGUGAGGGAUGAAAGCUGGGGGAGCAAACCGG